UUAAAUCUAGCUCAGUCGGUAGUGCAUGAGACUUUUAAUCUCCGGGUCGUAAGUUUGAGCCUCACGUUGGGUG